CACACGACUCUCGGCAACGGAUAUCUCGACUCUCGCAUCGAUGAAGAACGUAGCGAAAUGCGAUACCUGGUGUGAAUUGCAGAAUCCCGCGAACCAUCGAGUCUUUGAACGCAAGUUGCGCCCGAGGCCACUCGGCCGAGGGCACGCCUGCCUGGGCGUCACGC
rnacentral:rRNA from 1 species